rnacentral:rRNA from 1 species
CCUACGGGGGGCAGCAGUGGGGAAUAUUGCACAAUGGGGGGAACCCUGAUGCAGCAACGCCGCGUGGGUGAAGAAGUACUCCGGUAUGUAAAGUCCUGUCAGCAGGGAAGAAAAUGACGGUACCUGACCAAGAAGCCCCGGCUAACUACGUGCCAGCCGCCGGGGUAAUACGUAGGGGGCAAGCGUUAUCCGGAUUUACUGGGUGUAAAGGGGGCGUAGAGGGUAAGGCAAGUCUGGAGUGAAAGCCCGUGGCCCAACCCCGGGACCGCUGUUGAAACUGAGUUGCUGGAGUGCAGGAGGGGUAAGCGGAAUGCCUAGUGUAGCGGUGAAAUGCGUAGAUAUUAGGAGGAACACCGGUGGCGAAGGCAGCUUACUGGACUGUAACUGACGUUGAGGCUCGAAGGCGUGGGGAGCGAACAGGAUUAGAUACCCGAGUAGUC